rnacentral:lncRNA from 1 species
CUCUAGGCUCCGGCCUGGGCAGCAGACUAGACUCUGAAAGGACCUGGGGAUGGACAGCUAGUCUCCACAUUGUUGGUCUGCAAGAAAAGAGCUUCUCUGGGUCUAACCACAGGAGGAAGGCCCUAUCUCCUACCUUCUUAGAAAAACAACCCUCUGGUUUCUGGAAACCCUAAGGACAGGAUGGAGACUUCCCAGGUGCUGGGAUGACAGACUGACCUCUCAGCCCCCAGUGACUGCUGAGCUGGGACGGAAGGCAAGUGACCAGAUCAGAGAACUGAGGUCUGAAAGGUGAGUUUGGCCGCUAAGGCCCACCCCUUCCAUCCCCCCUAGGGAUGUGGGACUCUGGCAAGCCCUGCCUCCCGGGCCCCCAGCUCUGG